rnacentral:lncRNA from 1 species
AAAUCCGUAUAAAUACACAAAUUCGAGAACUGAAUAUCCAUAAAACCAAAACUAUAGAUCCACAAAAUCUCUAAUCAUGCAUAACGGAAAUCACAAACAUUCAAACAUCUAACUGAACAAUUUAUUAUUAACAACUACUAAAUGCGGAAAGAAAUAUAACCAGGGUGACGAUCACUACUGCCGUCUAGCUAGAACGUCCUCCCGUCGAGCCCAAAUACCAGCUCCU